rnacentral:rRNA from 1 species
UACAGAGGGUGCAAGCGUUAAUCGGAAUGACUGGGCGUAAAGGGUACGUAGGUGGAAGAUUAAGAAUCAUGUGAAAGUCCUGGGCUCAACCUGGGGAUGGCAUGGUUGACUGGUUUUCUGGAGUGCAGUAGAGGUAAGGGGAAUUUCCGGUGUAGCGGUGAAAUGCGUAGAGAUCGGGAGGAACACCUGUGGCGAAGGCGCCUUACUGGGCUGUAACUGACACUGAGGUACGAAAGCGUGGGGAGCAAACAGG